AACCAAUAAGAUUGCAGGCAGUGUGUCUCCUGAGAGCAGGGGCUGGCUGCCUCUGUUCCCACGUGACAUGUGCCAAUAAAUAGCCGGACAUUUCCGGGCCACGCCAGAGUUUACCGUAUAUUAACGUGUGAUCGCUCGGCUUGGUUCCUUGGAUUCUCAGACCUGCAGUGCGGGCUCUCCACUCACUGUCAACAGCUUGGUGAUUGGAAAACCUGCAGGAAGAACGCGCCGCGUCGAUGGUGGUGUCGGAUCGUGGGCCCACCAUCCGUUGCAAGAGAUGCCGACAGUAGCGCUACCAGAUCACCAAUGAGGUGUUGCAACAAUAAACACGUGACUCCAUGAUACCAUUCAGAGCCACCUAAAUGUCCCAAGACACGAACAACGAGGACGAAGACUGCCACUGAUGAGACCACCUCACCAUCCCAGGCAAAGCAAAGGAGGGUAGUUGCUAAGCAGGAAAUGGCCAGAUUGUCGAAGCGACACCAAGAGGGAGCUCUCACACUGCGAAUCCCUCAAAAGCAUGUAGGCAAACACACACACACGCACAUCACAAAUACACACAUGCACAACCAUAAAAACUGCGACUGGAUGUGUAUGCAUAAAUGAAAGCAGAAGAAAGACAAAUAAAGAAAAAUGAU